UAACCGGCGAUUUCCGAAUGGGGAAACCCAGUGUGUUUCGACACACUAUCAUUAACUGAAUCCAUAGGUUAAUGAGGCGAACCGGGGGAACUGAAACAUCUAAGUACCCCGAGGAAAAGAAAUCAACCGAGAUUCCCCCAGUAGCGGCGAGCGAACGGGGAGCAGCCCAGAGCCUGAAUCAGUAUGUGUGUUAGUGGAAGCGUCUGGAAAGGCGCGCGAUACAGGGUGACAGCCCCGUACACAAAAAUGCACAUGCUGUGAGCUCGAUGAGUAGGGCGGGACACGUGGUAUCCUGUCUGAAUAUGGGGGGACCAUCCUCCAAGGCUAAAUACUCCUGACUGACCGAUAGUGAACCAGUACCGUGAGGGAAAGGCGAAAAGAACCCCGGCGAGGGGAGUGAAAAAGAACCUGAAACCGUGUACGUACAAGCAGUGGGAGCACAGAGCAAUCUGUGUGACUGCGUACCUUUUGUAUAAUGGGUCAGCGACUUAUAUUCUGUAGCAAGGUUAACCGAAUAGGGGAGCCGAAGGGAAACCGAGUCUUAACUGGGCGUUAAGUUGCAGGGUAUAGACCCGAAACCCGGUGAUCUAGCCAUGGGCAGGUUGAAGGUUGGGUAACACUAACUGGAGGACCGAACCGACUAAUGUUGAAAAAUUAGCGGAUGACUUGUGGCUGGGGGUGAAAGGCCAAUCAAACCGGGAGAUAGCUGGUUCUCCCCGAAAGCUAUUUAGGUAGCGCCUCGUGAAUUCAUCUCCGGGGGUAGAGCACUGUUUCGGCAAGGGGGUCAUCCCGACUUACCAACCCGAUGCAAACUGCGAAUACCGGAGAAUGUUAUCACGGGAGACACACGGCGGGUGCUAACGUCCGUCGUGAAGAGGGAAACAACCCAGACCGCCAGCUAAGGUCCCAAAGUCAUGGUUAAGUGGGAAACGAUGUGGGAAGGCCCAGACAGCCAGGAUGUUGGCUUAGAAGCAGCCAUCAUUUAAAGAAAGCGUAAUAGCUCACUGGUCGAGUCGGCCUGCGCGGAAGAUGUAACGGGGCUAAACCAUGCACCGAAGCUGCGGCAGCGACGCUGAUGCGUUGUUGGGUAGGGGAGCGUUCUGUAAGCCUGCGAAGGUGUGCUGUGAGGCAUGCUGGAGGUAUCAGAAGUGCGAAUGCUGACAUAAGUAACGAUAAAGCGGGUGAAAAGCCCGCUCGCCGGAAGACCAAGGGUUCCUGUCCAACGUUAAUCGGGGCAGGGUGAGUCGACCCCUAAGGCGAGGCCGAAAGGCGUAGUCGAUGGGAAACAGGUUAAUAUUCCUGUACUUGGUGUUACUGCGAAGGGGGGACGGAGAAGGCUAUGUUGGCCGGGCGACGGUUGUCCCGGUUUAAGCGUGUAGGCUGGUUUUCCAGGCAAAUCCGGAAAACUAAGGCUGAGGCGUGAUGACGAGGCACUGCGGUGCUGAAGCAACAAA
rnacentral:rRNA from 1 species